rnacentral:rRNA from 1 species
GGGUAAGUAGAGUGGCAAACGGGUGAGUAACACGUGGGUGACCUGCCUUCGAGUGGGGGAUAACGUCCCGAAAGGGACGCUAAUACCGCAUGACAUCCUGCGUUUGGAAACGCGGAGAUCAAAGCCGGGGAUCGCAAGACCUGGCGCUUGAAGAGGGGCCCGCGCCUGAUUAGCUAGUUGGUGGGGUAACGGCCUACCAAGGCGACGAUCAGUAUCCGGCCUGAGAGGGCGGACGGACACACUGGGACUGAGACACGGCCCAGACUCCUACGGGAGGCAGCAGUGGGGAAUUGUUCGCAAUGGGCGCAAGCCUGACGACGCAACGCCGCGUGGAGGACGAAGAUCUUCGGGUCGUAAACUCCUGUCGAGCGGGAAGAACGCUUCCCGGGUGAAUAAUCCGGGGAGGUGACGGUACCGCUAAAGGAAGCCCCGGCUAACUCCGUGCCAGCAGCCGCGGUAAUACGGGGGGGGCAAGCGUUGUUCGGAAUUACUGGGCGUAAAGGGCUCGUAGGCGGCCAACUAAGUCGGAUGUGAAAUCCCCAGGCUUAACCUGGGAACUGCAUCCGAUACUGGAUGGCUUGAAUCCGGGAGAGGGAUGCAGAAUUCCAGGUGUAGCGGUGAAAUGCGUAGAUAUCUGGAGGAAUACCGGUGGCGAAGGCGGCAUCCUGGACCGGCAUUGACGCUGAGUGAGCGAAAGCCAGGGGAGCAAACGGGAUUAGAUACCCCGGUAGUCCUGGCCCUAAACGAUGAAUGCUUGGUGUGGCGGGUAUCGAUCCCUGCCGUGCCGAAGCUAACGCAUUAAGCAUUCCGCCUGGGGA